rnacentral:lncRNA from 1 species
UCUUGGUAGUUGCAGAAACUUACUUUAAAAAUAAUAAAUAAAAUUCCAAAUUUGAAAUCCAGAAAAUUACAACGGCUUUACUACAACCCACAUAAAAUAAUUUAAAGGUAAUAAUCAAAACUGUAACAUAAACAGUGUGUGUGGCUUCCUCCGAGCCCCUAGCAACCCCGAUCCAUCUAAGGCUGGAAAUUACCUGAAAGGUUAAUAAACGGGGUGAGUUUACGAAAACUCAGUAUGAAAUCCCCUACUAUAAAAAGGAACAGUCAGUCAUCUAAAAGAAUUAAAAGUCUGGCCCCAGCCUUACUUACAAUUUCAGUACCAAUCGGGUCUUAGCCCAUUAGAACAGACAGUACCAGAUGGACCUUAGCCCAUUACAGAAUAAGAAACAUUAUCAGAAUUGGAACCAAAAUGAGAAUAAGAAUCAGAAUCAGUAACAGAAUCAGAAUCAGAAUCAAUAUUAGUAACAGAAUCAGAAUCAGAAUCAGAAUUAGGUGAAAGAAUCAGAAUCAGAAUCAGUAACAGAAUCAGAAUCAGAAUCAGAAUUACGUGACAGAAUCAGAAAAAGAAUGUGAAUGCAAUCCCAACCCAAUCCAGCCGUAUACACCCCCGUACCAACCUUACACCAUGUGGGGAGACAACUCGACCCACCCAUCCGCUACACACCACAGAAUUUGAAGCAUGGCUGCCAGAACAGAUAUCGUGACAGAGUCACCAGAUACAGAUAUUGUGGCAGAGCCACCAGAAUCAAAUAAUGUGGCAAACCCACCUAACAGAAUACGUGGCACAAAGUCAUAGAUAACUGUAAUAACUUUGGUACAUAGCCAUCAGUGACGGUAAUAUAACUGGCGCACAGUCUUCGGUAAAUAUGAUCGACACAGAGUCGUCAACAAAUAUGUUAGGCACAUAGCUACAGGUAAAUACGUUUGGCACGAAGCCAUAGUCAAGAUGGCACAAAGCCAUAUUUAGGUUGGCACAGAGCCAUUAAUAACGGGUCUAUAAUCGGCACGAAGCCCACAACAACGGCACACAGCCUUCGGUAGCGUGAUCGGCACUUAGCCAUUGAUCGGUCAACAGAUAUUGUGACAGAGUCACCAAAUACAGAUAUUGUGGCAGAGCCACCAGAACAGAUAUUUGUGGCAUAGCCACCAGAACGCUUCCUCCGUAUAAAAUCCCAACCCAUGCAACAUGUCAUGUAUGCAGAAUGUCAUGCCCCUAUUUGAAUCAAACAAUCACAGUCAAGUCAUUCAUAUCACCAACAUAUAUUCACAAUCAAAUCCGUCAAACACACAGUCCAAGUCAGUCACUUGCCCACAAGGCAAAACAGUCAUUUAACACCCUAGGGACAAAAUGGUAAUUUUACCUCACAAGGGUAUCUCGGUAUUUCUACCCUACAAGGGUAUUUCGAUAAUUCUACCCUACAGGGGUAUUUUGGUAAUUCUAUCCUAUAAGGGUAUUUCAGUAAUUCUACCCUAUAGGGGUAUUUCAAAAAUUCUACCCUACAGGGGUAUUUCAGUAAUUUCACAAUCAAGGGUAAAACGGUAAUUCUAUAAAUCGAGGGUAAAACGAUAAUUUUGUAAACUGAUGGUAAACUAGUAAUUCUGUAAAUCAAGGGUAAAAUGGUAAUUUUACAAAUCGAGGGUAAAACGAUAAUUCUGUAAAUCGAGGGUAAAACAGUAAUUCUGUAAACUGAGGGUAAAAUGGUAAUUCUGUAAAUCGAGGGUAAAAUAGUAAUUCUGUAAAUUAAGGGUAAAAUAAUAAUUCUGUAAAUCGAGGGUAAAAUAGUAAUUUUACAAAUCGAGGGUAAAACGGUAAUUCUAUAAAUCGAGGGUAAAACAGUAAUUCUGUAAACUGAGGGUAAAACGAUAAUUCUAUAAAUCGAGGGUAAAAUAGUAAUUUUACAAAUCGAGGGUAAAACGGUAAUUCUAUAAAUCGAGGGUAAAACGGUAAUUUUAAAAAUCAAGGGUAAAAUAGUAAUUCUAUAAAUCAAAGGUAAAACGGUAAUUCUGUAAACUGAGGGUAAAAUGGUAAUUCUGUAAAUCGAGGAUAAAACGGUAAUUUUAAAAAUCGAGGGUAAAACGAUAAUUCUGUAAAUCGAGGGUAAAACGGUAAUUCUGUAAAUCGAGGGUAAAACGGUAAUUCUGUAAAUCUAGGGUAAAACGGUAAUUUUAAAAAUCGAGGGUAAAAUGGUAAUUCUGUAAAUCGAGGGUAAAACGGUAAUUCUGUAAAUCGAGAGUACUUUGGUAAUUUUACAAGUCGAGGGCAUUUCAGUAAUUGGUAAACUAAAGUAUUCUAAACAUGGAUAACAAUAAAAAUGGGCCUAAAGCCUAUUCUUGGCCCAAAUGGGCCCACACGCUCGUGUGGCCCUAUUAGCCCAAACCUAGCCACAGAUAUGCGAUUCACCUAGCCUAGUCCAAUAUUUACUACACAAUCAAACAACUUAUCCAAUUGGGCCUGUAGGCCCAUUGGGCCCACAUGGCCCCUUUCGGGCCAUCGCGGCCCGAAGUAGCCAUCCAACAACAAGAGUAGUGAUAAAUACACACCUGAUUGGAGACUGGAG